rnacentral:rRNA from 1 species
UACAGAGGGUGCGAGCGUUGUCCGGAAUCACUGGGCGUAAAGGGCGCGUAGGCGGCUUAUCAAGUCAGGCGUGAAAUUCCCGGGCUCAACCUGGGGGCUGCGCUUGAUACUGAUUGGCUUGAAUUCGGGAGAGGGAUGCGGAAUUCCAGGUGUAGCGGUGAAAUGCGUAGAUAUCUGGAGGAACACCGGUGGCGAAGGCGGGUCUCUGGGCCGAUACUGACGCUGAGGAGCGAAAGCGUGGGGAGCGAACAGG